UCGUCGCCGCUACCACUUGAGGUGGCUGCUAGGCUGCCGCCGAACCAGUUCGGAGACCGCCGCUGUUUCGGUUCAGCCAUUCCUUCUUUGGUUCGAGUUGUUGAGAUUGUUGCGAAAAUGGCUUGGAACCGAGGUUUUGGCUACCGGGAUUUUGAUUGUUGAUUUCGGGUCGAGGCGGAAAGGAUUCUGUGACGCGUUUGGGCUAUGGUUUUGCGUUUUGAGGUAGGGGCGCUUUCCGAAAAACUAUAUUUUGUAUAUUGGAAUUAUUACAUAUGGAUACAGGUGAGGAUGUGUAUUUGGUGAUUGUAGCAGUCCUAUGUAUUAUUUGGUUGUUUUGUAUGAUUAUGGGUGUUUGUUUGACUGGACUGUUGUGUGGUUUUGUGAAACGGAGUGUUUUCAAGUUAAUUCUUUUAAAGAAUUGAGAUCGAGCCUAAUCCGUUGAGAAUUGAUUUGAAUUGAGUUAA